GACGAACGCUGGCGGCGUGCUUAACACAUGCAAGUCGAACGGAAAGGACCUGAUUUUGUGGGGUGCUCGAGUGGCGAACGGGUGAGUAUCACGUGAGUAACCUGCCCUUUACUGUGGGAUAACUUCAGGAAACUGGGGCUAAUACCGGAUAGGAGCUCCUGCGGCAUGGUGGGGGUUGGAAAGUUGCGGCGGUUGGGGAUGGACUCGCGGCUUAUCAGCUUGUUGGUGGGGUAGUGGCUUACCAAGGCGUUGACGGGUAGCCGGCCUGAGAGGGUGACCGGCCACAGUGGGACUGAGAUACGGCCCAGACGCCUACGGGAGGCAGCAGUGGGGAAUAGUGCACAAUGGGCGGAAGCCUGAUGCAGCAACUCCGCGUGCGGGAUGACGGCCUUCGGGUUGUAAACCGCUUUCGCCUGUGACGAAGCGUGAGUGACGGUAAUGGGUAAAGAAGCACCGGCUAACUACGUG
rnacentral:rRNA from 1 species